AGAAUACUUAUGAAAGCUGUCGAGGACAUGCGCCGUAUCUUGUUGGAAUCAUUUGAACAUGAACCAUGUAAAUGACAAGGAUUUAUCAAGUAUCCACGACUAAAAGAGAUUACAGAAAUUUCUUCCGGGUUGGAUAAAGAUUGUAUAGACAGUGUUUCUUCUAAUAAAAGGAGGAGACGGACUGAUAUAUACUUAAAAAAUAAUCAUGUCGUUUGAAAUUAACGGUGCUGCGAUGUUUUUCUUGACAUUUGCCCUUCUCUUGCUGCUGUGUUUUGUAUAUUUCUGUUUGCGGAGUAAAGGACGAUCCACACUGAAGGAAGCUCUUGACAUUUUCACUCACUGUCUGAAAUCCCUUUGUCAAUGCACAUGGCCGACAGGCCACGAAACUCGCGACAGAAGAGAAAUUAAUCACAUCACCAUAGCAACCAUUGGAGAAAUUAAUCAGGGAUUUUACGGUGUUAAUUUCGCGCCGCCAUCAUACGAGUCUGUGAUUGCAGCUGACAAGUCACGUGAUCAAGAUCUGCCUAGUUACGAAGACGCUUUGAAAUUCAUUUGUAUAGAUGUGUAUCAUCUCUCGGAUUCUGGAAAUGGCUCAAAUUCUUCAGAAUCGUGAAUUCUUUACUUAAACUACGCAGAGUUAUUUAUUAUGGAGGAAUUGUCUUCAACAGUUCUAAAAAGGUGCCUAGUUUUAUGGGACCAAUUGAAUUGUUUACUUUAGUAUUAUUUUGUAUAUUUGUUCUUUUGUUGUUUUCUUUUUGUGUGUGUGUAUCUUUACAUUGAUGUUUUAUACAAUAUAUGUUAUUUAAUUUAUACAUAUAGCUUGCAUUUAUGCAUAUGAGUUGCAUAUGCAUUUGUUAACACAACGCGAAAACUAAAUUUGCAUAUGAGAAAUGAAAUAAAAAAACUGAACUUUUGUACCGACAUUCGUAAUUGAAUUUACGUGUUUAUACGAAACCGGAAUUCCACUGCACUGACUUUCAGUAUAUUACGUAAGCAAAUCCCCACACCAAUGGUUUAUAAUAUGUUGUGUUAUGUCUGAUGUAAUUGUCACUAAGUAUUACUUCCAGGAUGUCUACACUGAAAAGUCUGAUUUGUGACAGAUGAGAAAUCGAACGUGACCAAAAAAAAGAAAAAAAA
rnacentral:sRNA from 1 species